GACACAUCACAUGAAAUCGCAUUUGGUUACCAUUUUGAUUGCCUCUGUAGGUCAGUCAUUUGCUCCGGAUAAUAAAUCUGAAAGCAAACAUCUGCAGCCUUACGAGUAUUUUGAGCUAUCGUGCAUAACUAAUCUAUAUUAUUUGCACAUUCUUUGAUAAGACAGGACCGGAUGAGUAAGUUUUCCUCUCUCAAAAUUCAUCAAAAGCCUGUCACACUAGCACAAGAAGAGGAACACAUGUUUCAGUUGUCACAACUUUUCCUCUAUCGACAUACGUUGAAAGGCUGUUACCAGUACCACAAAAAGAAGAGCACAUGUCUUUCAGUGGUUCUCCCAACUUGUCCUCUAUCAAAAUUCGUUGAAAGCCUGUCAUCUGUAAGCUAAGAGGAACACAUGUGUUUCAGGUUUUCCUGCUCUUACCAAGAAGACGUUGCUCUUGAUGCUGGAAUGCCCUGAAACUGCGCCACUUUGUGAUGACAUCAAACAUCAGAGAAACUACAUCCAAGGUGCCUUGGGCCUAUUUAGAAUGUACUAGGCUGUUAAAUGAGAAAAAAAG